CGUUAUGAUUAUGCAUGAUUUAUAGUGUUUUCCAACCAGAGUUGUUCCUUUAUUGGCUAAUAUCAAUGAGAAGUAUAUGUAGCUUAUCCCAACCUCUUGAAGGUUAUGUUCUUCUAUUUUUUUUUGUCUUGGACUGCACACAAUGUUUUCUUUGUCUUUACAUCUUGUUUUCACUGGUCCCCGUUUUUCUUGUGCAGUUAUCUUAAUUUCCCUGUAAAUGUUCAUUUGGGCAAUUAUAAUCCCAGCUUCUUCAAGGUUUAUUUUGAUUUCCUUCUUGUUUCCCCUCGCCUCUAUCUUUUCCCGUGCAAUUAGUCAGGUUUUUUCGUGAAGCAAGGUUGCAUGAGAUUUCUAACUAGCCACAUUAUGAAUUUAUUUCUAUCUUUUCACUUUUAGCCUUGAAUACAGACUACAAUUAACAAGAACACAGUACCACGUUUGAUUCCAUUCUUUCUUAAAAGAGGCUUUUCUUCUGCCGAAUUACGAUUUCAGCUUUCAGUCAAGAACAAACUGAAUUUUGUUUUCCUUGAAGCAUCAUGAACUGAUGUUUUGUGUUGCUUAUUAUGAUUCUGAACUGAUAUGUCUCUUGCUUCCUGCAUCCAGAUAUGAUGCCACUGCAACUGCUCAUGUGCAAAAUUUACUCUGUUUCACAUUGCACUAUCAUCAUUGUCACUCCAUGAGUAUUAGUUGAGGAAAGUGGGGUUCGGAACUCUAGCAGAGCAACUGAAGAAAAGUGGUGUUUCAGCUGAUGGAGAAUCAAACUUAAACCGAUGGACGGAGCUCCGUUAGGAGGAUGGCAUAUCUCGGUUUGUGUACACCACCUGGGUUCAUGUGCGGUGGACAAUGGUUCGAGCAACCCUGAUGGACCAUGGUUUCUGCCGAGCGACCAGCAAAAGGUAUGAGCUCGUGUUAUUAUUGCAGAUCAGCAUCUGCCAUGACGGCGCUUGUUUUGGUGCGUGGUGGCGGGUCUGCUCGGCGAAAGUUGGACGUCCUACUCCGGCGAAGAUUUUGUUAUGAUGGUUUUGCUAUGCCGCGAUGCUUUGCUCAGAGCUCAUGGAUCAUGCAUGAAGAAAUGAGGAGCAUUCUGUUGCCCAAAUGUGGUCCAAGUGGGGUGUUAUGAUGGGAUGCUGCUCUUACAGUAUUUUUGGGCCAUUGGCAUACAAUCAGGGAGAUAUUGAAGCCCUAAAGCUGUAAGCUUACACAAAUAAAGACGGUAAUGACCAGUUACAUAAGUUUGUUACUUUGGUUAUUUGCCUAAUAAACAUGCCUACCAAUGUUUAUUCCAGUCAAAUGCAAGACAAGCUAAGACAACUCAUGUAGCCAGAAGAUAUUUUAUUCGCUUUCCCCUUCCGUUGCUUCUCUUGUUUAUCUAUCUCCCCUUCCUAAGAUCUAGAAGUAUUGUAAAGAAGAUCCAGAAGAACUAUGUCAAAGAUUAUUCAAAGUUUGCAUUCGCCUGGCUCGAUGGACGAAGAACUGUUUGCAGAUCUCCUCAUAGUUAGAUUUCUCUUUGAUUCCCAUCAAAAAAAUUUAUGAUCCUCAGCUCAUCAGUCAAACAAUUGGAUCUCAGUUCGACAUUUCCGCAAGCUAUAUUGAGACGUUCCAAUUUUUGUACACUUGGCAGAUUUCCAUCGUCAUCUGCAGACAUUGUGUGCUGCAGCAGGCAUCCCAUUAGAUCAUCUGGUGAAUGGCCGUGAGGUGCACGUGGAUGUGGGACUCUACCUAGACCUUGACCGACACCCCUUUCUCGUUGGGUUUUCUUCAUUUGGUUUGGUUCUUUGUUAUGCAGAUCUGGAUUCAAUAAUUUUGGGACAUUAUUAGGUUGAUUAGUACCUUGCCGUUCAGAUCGGCGAGGGUUUGUGUAUGAAGCAUUCGUAGUUGGUCAGUAGCUUCUACUGAAGGACAUCCGCCAUCAUGAGGCUCAAACCUCCCAAGCAUCAGACGGAAACACUACAUGGACAAUAGGAAUAUUGCAAUGAAGUCGAUUGCUUGAAGAUGAUGGUGCAGCUCUAAACACUAUGUGUGAAAAUCUGAGAAAGAAAAGAAGUGGAAGAAUCUCACGGAAGAGUUUCAUGAAGGAGAACAAGGAAUCUGAAAGAUUUGUGCAGAGGGCCUCAACCUGGUUUCAUGGUCGAGCUCUCAACAGCUGCUGCUCCUAAUCCUUAAUGACCACAUUGACACCCGCGUCGUCACUGCUGCAACAUUCUGCAGCACUGAUAUUGACCUCUCCACUUCUGUCAUGCCCUGUACGGAGCCAUCGGCUGCCUCUCAUCCCCUCCAGUUUACCCGCUUCCACAAUUCCUUCACUCUUGAGAAACUAAGAGCAAGAGGCGUUUCGUUUCUUUGUAAUCUCUACGGCAGGAACCGUGUUUUGCUACAUCAUAUCUUGCUUGAUGGGACUUUGCAUGCACACGGACCAUGGAACUCACUCAUGGAAGUGGAAAUUGGAUACCUAGAAUUCAAAAGAUCAUGUGUGGUUCUGCUGCUGCAGGAUGAUGAUGGCCUCCUUCAUCGGCUCAGUGUUUGCCGCAACAACUUGAGUAAGAGUGCCUGCUACGGCUGAUCCAGGAUAGGCCCAAAGAGAAGAUCCAUAUGGUGUACAUACAAAUUAUUGCCAAGUGACUUAAGUUGUUUUUAUUUUUUUAGUGCAAGGAGUAAUGAGCACAAAUAUAUAUGUGAUCUUUGACAACAAUAUUAUUUUCUUAGUGAUAUAUUUAAAUUAAUGCUUAGACAUAUUGAGCUCUUCAUCGAUCUAUGUAUCACAUGAAUACAUUAGAGUUCCUUAUAAGUGUUGACUAUA